rnacentral:rRNA from 1 species
GACGAACGCUGGCGGCGUGCUUAACACAUGCAAGUCGAGCGGUAAGGCCUCCUUCGGGGGGUACACGAGCGGCGAACGGGUGAGUAACACGUGAGUAAUCUGCCCUUCACUCUGGGAUAAGCACCGGAAACGGUGUCUAAUACCGGAUAUGACCAGCCUACGCAUGUGGUGUUGGUGGAAAGUUUUUUCGGUGGGGGAUGUGCUCGCGGCCUAUCAGCUUGAUGGUGGGGUAAUGGCCUACCAUGGCGUCGACGGGUAGCCGGCCUGAGAGGGUGACCGGUCACACUGGGACUGAGACACGGCCCAGACUCCUACGGGAGGCAGCAGUGGGGAAUAUUGCACAAUGGGCGGAAGCCUGAUGCAGCAACGCCGCGUGAGGGAUGACGGCCUUCGGGUUGUAAACCUCUUUUAGCAAGGAAGAAGCGAGAGUGACGGUACUUGCAGAAAAAGCGCCGGCUAACUACGUGCCAGCAGCCGCAGUAA